AGGAGGGUAAAUGGUUGAUAACGCAAACAUAAAAUCGGACUCUGACUCCGUUAGUCUUGGUUCGAAUCCAGGUCCCCCAGCCA
rnacentral:tRNA from 1 species